GGAGGGCUCGCAUAGUGGCCGAGUGCGGCGGUCUUGAAAACCGCUGGGGGUGCUCCUCGUGGGUUCGAAUCCCACGCCCUCCGC
rnacentral:tRNA from 1 species